AUGCCUGGGAUGAAGCCAAGCGCCAGCACUAUGUUUACAAGUGUGACUAUCCUGAGCCUGAAUGUGCGUUUUGGAGUCCACGAUGAUGCCAAUAUGGUGGCCACGUUUCUAAAACGCUUUCCCAACGCAUCGAGUCUGCAUAUCAGGUGUGAACAAUGUGAUGAAUCCACUGGGAAGUUCGAACCUAAGUUCUGGGAGGAGGUUGGUCCCAUCGUGAGUGUCAUGUUGCGCAUAGGGGUGAUGACUAUCCGUGAAUUCAGAGGGGAGGAAGGCGAGAUGGCUUUCCUCAAGUACUUCUUCACAAACGCGAGGGCGCUGAAGUAUGUGGCGAUCAUCUUCCCCAAUCCAAGCUUCUCUUCAAUUUCAAAGAACUAUGCAUGCUCCAAAGCAAACUAUCUGACUUCUCUGAAUUGGGCCACUCAAGGCUGCGGAUUCAUGGUGUAUGGGAGUACAGAUCCUGAAGGAGGCAGACCAUGGUGCUUCAAGACCGGAGCAAUUUUUUCGCGUGACCCUUUCUCGUGGUGA
rnacentral:rRNA from 1 species